rnacentral:rRNA from 1 species
GGAAUAUUGGUCAAUGGGCGGGAGCCUGAACCAGCCAAGUCGCGUGAGGGAUGACGGCCCUAUGUGUUGUAAACCUUUUUUGCCGGGGAGCAAAGUGCCGCACGUGUGCGGUGUGGAGAGUACCCGGAGAAAAAGCAUCGGCUAACCCCGUGCCAGCAGCCGCGGUAAUACGGAUGAUGCGAGCGUUAUCCGGAUUUAUUGGGUUUAAAGGGUGCGUAGGCGGACGCAUAAGUCAGCAGUAAAAUUGCGGGGCUCAACCUCGUCGAGCCGUUGAAACUGGGUGCCUUGAGUGGGCGAGAAGUACGCGGAAUGCGUGGUGUAGCGGUGAAAUGCAUAGAUAUCACGCAGAACUCCGAUUGCGAAGGCAGCGUACCGGCGCCCAACUGACGCUGAAGCACGAAGGCGUGGGUAUCGAA